rnacentral:rRNA from 1 species
GAGGAAUAUUGGGCAAUGCCCGCAAGGGUGACCCAGCAACGCCGCGUGGAGGAUGAAUGUCGUAAGAUUGUAAACUCCUGUUAGAGGGGAAGAAUAGUACCGGUUGGACCGGUAUAUGACUGUACCCUCAGAGAAAGCCCCGGCUAACUACGUGCCAGCAGCCGCGGUAAUACGUAGGGGGCAAGCGUUGUCCGGAUUUACUGGGUGUAAAGGGCGCGCAGGCGGGAUAAAAAGUCAGUGGUGAAAUCCUACAGCUUAACUGUAGAACUGCCUUUGAUACGUUUAUUCUUGAGUUCGGGAGAGAGAGACGGAAUUCCAGGUGUAGUGGUGACAUACGUAGAUAUCUGGAAGAACACCAGUUGCGAAGGCGGUCUCUUGGUCCGACACUGACGCUGAGGCGCGAAAGCGUGGGGAGCAAACA